rnacentral:rRNA from 1 species
AGCUCAAUUUGAAAUCUGGCCCCCAGGGCCCGAGUUGUAAUUUGCAGAGGAUGCUUUUGGCGCGGUGCCUUCCGAGUUCCCUGGAACGGGACGCCAUAGAGGGUGAGAGCCCCGUCUGGUCGGACGCCUAGCCUGUGUAAAGCUCCUUCGACGAGUCGAGUAGUUUGGGAAUGCUGCUCUAAAUGGGAGGUAUAUGUCUUCUAAAGCUAAAUACCGGCCAGAGACCGAUAGCGCACAAGUAGAGUGAUCGAAAGAUGAAAAGCACUUUGAAAAGAGGGUUAAAUAGUACGUGAAAUUGUUGAAAGGGAAGCGCUUGUGACCAGACUUGGGCCCGGUGGAUCAUCCAGCGUUCUCGCUGGUGCACUCCGCCGGGUUCAGGCCAGCAUCAGUUCGCCGCGGGGGAAAAAGGCUUCGGGAACGUGGCUCCUACGGGAGUGUUAUAGCCCGUUGCAUAAUACCCUGGGGCGGACUGAGGUUCGCGCUCCGCUAGGAUGCUGGCGUAAUGGUCAUCAGCGACCCGUCUUGAA